rnacentral:rRNA from 1 species
AGCGAACGCUGGCGGCAGGCCUAACACAUGCAAGUCGAACGAACUCUUCGGAGUUAGUGGCGGACGGGUGAGUAACACGUGGGAACGUGCCUUUUGGUUCGGAAUAACUCAGGGAAACUUGUGCUAAUACCGAAUGUGCCCUUCGGGGGAAAGAUUUAUCGCCAUUAGAGCGGCCCGCGUCUGAUUAGCUAGUUGGUGAGGUAACGGCUCACCAAGGCGACGAUCAGUAGCUGGUCUGAGAGGAUGACCAGCCACACUGGGACUGAGACACGGCCCAGACUCCUACGGGAGGCAGCAGUGGGGAAUCUUGCGAAAUGGGCGAAAGCCUGACGCAGCCAUGACGCGUGAAUGAUGAAGGUCUUAGGAUUGUAAAAUUCUUUCACCGGGGACGAUAAUGACGGUACCCGGAGAAGAAGCCCCGGCUAACUUCGUG